rnacentral:rRNA from 1 species
GAUGAACGCUGGCGGCGUGCCUAAUGCAUGCAAGUCGAGCGAAUGGAUUAAGAGCUUGCUCUUAUGAAGUUAGCGGCGGACGGGUGAGUAACACGUGGGUAACCUGCCCAUAAGACUGGGAUAACUCCGGGAAACCGGGGCUAAUACCGGAGAACAUUUUGAACCGCAUGGUUCGAAAUUGAAAGGCGGCUUCGGCUGUCACUUAUGGAUGGACCCGCGUCGCAUUAGCUAGUUGGUGAGGUAACGGCUCACCAAGGCAACGAUGCGUAGCCGACCUGAGAGGGUGAUCGGCCACACUGGGACUGAGACACGGCCCAGACUCCUACGGGAGGCAGCAGUAGGGAAUCUUCCGCAAUGGACGAAAGUCUGACGGAGCAACGCCGCGUGAGUGAUGAAGGCUUUCGGGUCGUAAAACUCUGUUGUUAGGGAAGAACAAGUGCUAGUUGAAUAAGCUGGCACCUUGACGGUACCUAACCAGAAAGCCACGACUAACUACGUGCCAGCAGCCGCGGUAA